AUGGGCGCCCCGGGUCCAGGGCCCGCGGAGCCGCUCUCGGGGCGGAGACCUUGCCCCCAGGGGCACGUCAGCGGUCCUGAGGUGAGGCUCCUGCAGAGCACUCUGGGCCGCGUGUGUCUCUCCCUGCGUGGGCAGGCAGUGUCGGUGGCCGGAGCGAGGGUGUUUUCCCAUCGGGGUGAGAGGGAGAGCCCCAGGGUGGGCCUGGGGGCGGAAUCGGACUCGGGGUUGGGGUGGACUCUUCUGAAGCUGGGAGGGGUGCGGGUGGGCAGGGCCUUAGGGAGCCUGAGGGAGGCGCGGUUCCUGGGGGAAGGGUGUGGCGAGGCGGCGGCAGCCCGCGUGCGCUGUGGCGCCCCAGCGAAGGGGCAGUGCUGGCCACUCGUGUGGCCCUUUGGCUGCUGGCACCCAGUGAGAGGGGGGAGGCCAGGGACAGGUGGCAGCCAGGCUGCCCACAGGCCCUGGGCGGUGGGGGGCCCGGCCCCUGUGCCUUGGGCAGCCUGGCCCCUUGCUGAGGCGUGCUUGCGCGUGUCCGUUGUCGCCCUCACCCAGCUGCUGCGGCGGAGAGACGGAGGCCAGCGCGGGGAGCGGAAGCCGGAGCCUGUCGGGAGCGACCCCGGGAAGGCCAGUCCCUCCUGCCGGUGGGAGGCGUGUUGGCGUGCGGCCGGUGGCGGGAUCGAUGGCCACCUGGUAGGCGAUGCUGCUGCGGCGGAGAGACGGAGGCCAGCGCGGGGAGCGGAAGCCGGAGCCUGUCGGGAGCGACCCCGGGAAGGCCAGUCCCUCCUGCCGGAGGGAGGCGUGUUGGCGUGCGGCCGGUGGCGGGAUCGAUGGCCACCUGGUAGGCGAUGCUGCUGCGGCGGAGAAACGGAGGCCAGCGCGGGGAGCGGAAGCCGGAGCCUGUCGGGAGCGACCCCGGGAAGGCCAGUCCCUCCUGCCGGAGGGAGGCGUGUUGGCGUGCGGCCGGUGGCGGGAUCGAUGGCCACCUGCUGCUGCGGCGGAGAAACGGAGGCCAGCGCGGGGAGCGGAAGCCGGAGCCUGUCGGGAGCAACCCCGGGAAGGCCAGUCCCUCCUGCCGGAGGGAGG
rnacentral:lncRNA from 9 species